rnacentral:pre_miRNA from 1 species
CAUCUUACCGGGCAGCAUUGGAGUCUGUGCUAAGUUUCUUCUAAUACUGUCAGGUAAAGAUGUG